AUCCAGCUGAUGAGUCCCAAAUAGGACGAAACGUGCGUCAAAAUGGAU
rnacentral:hammerhead_ribozyme from 1 species